rnacentral:lncRNA from 1 species
GCGGUAUUGGAGCACUCAACAUCAACCAAUGAUACAGGUUGAAACACAAUCUUCUCAGUGACCUUUCAACCCCGCGCUCCAGCUAGAGCGCGAAAGAACAACAUUGAUCUGAGAUUAUUAAUAUAUUUUAUAGUGUUUAACUUGUAUAUUUUGUAAAGAAAGAUUUAAAAAUUAGUCAUUUGCAAUUCUUGUUCAUAGAAACCACCUAUCGCCGUUGCUAAGGAUUAUGUGUUGACUAUUAACUG